GACGAACGCUGGCGGCGUGCUUAACACAUGCAAGUCGAACGGGUCUGCCCUGUUUUUUGCGGGGUGGGUCAGUGGCGAACGGGUGAGUAACACGUGAGUAACCUGCCCCUCACUUCUGGAUAACCGCUUGAAAGGGUGGCUAAUACGGGGUGUUUUGGCUGUGCCGCAUGGUGUGGCUGGGAAAGAUUCACUUUUGUGGUGUUUUGGUGGGGGAUGGGCUCGCGGCCUAUCAGCUUGUUGGUGGGGUGAUGGCCUGCCAAGGCUUUGACGGGUAGCCGGCCUGAGAGGGUGGGCGGUCACACUGGGACUGAGAUACGGCCCAGACUCCUGCGGGAGGCAGCAGUGGGGGGUAUUGCACAAUGGGCGGAAGCCUGAUGCAGCGACGUCGCGUGAGGGAUGGAGGCCUUCGGGUUGUGAACCUCUUUCGCCGGUGAAGAAGGUCCUGCUCUUUGUGGUGGGGUUGACGGUAGCCGGGUUAUGAAGCGCCGGCUAACUACGUG
rnacentral:rRNA from 1 species